UGGGGAAUCUUGCGCAAUGGGCGAAAGCCUGACGCAGCAACGCCGCGUGGGGGACGAAGGCUCUCGGGUUGUAAACCCCUUUCAGGAGGGACGAAACUGACGGUACCUCCAGAAGAAGCCCCGGCCAACUACGUGCCAGCAGCCGCGGUAACACGUAGGGGGCGAGCGUUGUCCGGAUUUAUUGGGCGUAAAGAGCUCGUAGGCGGCUCGGUAAGUCGGGUGUGAAAUUUCGAGGCUUAACCUCGAAACGCCACCCGAUACUGCUGUGGCUAGAGUCCGGUAGGGGAGCGUGGAAUUCCUGGUGUAGCGGUGAAAUGCGCAGAUAUCAGGAGGAACACCAGCGGCGAAGGCGGCGCUCUGGGCCGGAACUGACGCUGAGGAGCGAAAGCGUGGGGAUCAAACAGG
rnacentral:rRNA from 1 species